rnacentral:rRNA from 1 species
AACGAACGCUGGCGGCAUGCCUAACACAUGCAAGUCGAACGAGACCUUCGGGUCUAGUGGCGCACGGGUGCGUAACGCGUGGGAAUCUGCCCUUGGGUUCGGAAUAACAGUUAGAAAUGACUGCUAAUACCGGAUAAUGUCUUCGGACCAAAGAUUUAUCGCCUUUAGAUGGGCCCGCGUAAGAUUAGCUAGUUGGUGGGGUAAAGGCCCACCAAGGCGACGAUCUUUAGCUGGUCUGAGAGGAUGAUCAGCCACACUGGGACUGAGACACGGCCCAGACUCCUACGGGAGGCAGCAGUGGGGAAUAUUGGACAAUGGGCGAAAGCCUGAUCCAGCAAUGCCGCGUGAGUGAUGAAGGCCUUAGGGUUGUAAAGCUCUUUUACCCGAGAUGAUAAUGACAGUAUCGGGAGAAUAAAGCUCCGGCUAACUCCGUGCCAGCAGCCGCGGUAAU